rnacentral:rRNA from 1 species
ACCGUACUCCUACGGGAGGCAGCAGUGGGGAAUAUUGGACAAUGGGCGCAAGCCUGAUCCAGCAAUGCCGCGUGAGUGAUGAAGGCCUUAGGGUUGUAAAGCUCUUUUACCCGUGAUGAUAAUGACAGUAGCGGGAGAAUAAGCCCCGGCUAACUCCGUGCCAGCAGCCGCGGUAAUACGGAGGGGGCUAGCGUUGUUCGGAAUUACUGGGCGUAAAGCGCACGUAGGCGGCUUUGUAAGUUAGAGGUGAAAGCCUGGAGCUCAACUCCGGAACUGCCUUUAAGACUGCAUCGCUUGAAUCCAGGAGAGGUGAGUGGAAUCCCGAGUGUAGAGGUGAAAUUCGUAGAUAUUCGGAAGAACUCCAGUGGCGAAGGCGGCUCACUGGACUGGUAUUGACGCUGAGGUGCGAAAGCGUGGGGAGCAAACAGGAUUAGAAACCCUGGUAGUCCUUGAC